rnacentral:rRNA from 1 species
GAGGAAAAGAAACCAACAGGGAUUGCCUUAGUAGCGGCGAGUGAAGCGGCAAAAGCUCAAAUUUGAAAUCUGGCGCCUUCGGUGUCCGAGUUGUAAUUUGAAGAUUGUAACCUUGGGGUUGGCUCUUGUCUAUGUUUCUUGGAACAGGACGUCACAGAGGGUGAGAAUCCCGUGCGAUGAGAUGCCCAAUUCUAUGUAAGGUGCUUUCGAAGAGUCGAGUUGUUUGGGAAUGCAGCUCUAAGUGGGUGGUAAAUUCCAUCUAAAGCUAAAUAUUGGCGAGAGACCGAUAGCGAACAAGUACAGUGAUGGAAAGAUGAAAAGAACUUUGAAAAGAGAGUGAAAAAGUACGUGAAAUUGUUGAAAGGGAAGGGUUUGAGAUCAGACUCGAUAUUUUGUGAGCCUUGCCUUCGUGGCGGGGUGACCCGCAGCUUAUCGGGCCAGCAUCGGUUUGGGCGGUAGGAUAAUGGCGUAGGAAUGUGACUUUACUUCGGUGAAGUGUUAUAGCCUGCGUUGAUGCUGCCUGCCUAGACCGAGGACUGCGAUUUUAUCAAGGAUGCUGGCAUAAUGAUCCCAAACCGCCCGUCUUGAAACACGGA